rnacentral:rRNA from 1 species
UACGUAGGCAGCGAGCGUUGUUCGGAGUUACUGGGCGUAAAGCGUGCGUAGGCGGUGUCCUAAGUCUGUUGUGAAAUCUCCCGGCUUAACCGGGAGGGUGCGGCGGAAACUGGGAUGCUGGAGUGCGGGAGAGGUAAGCGGAAUUCUCGGUGUAGCGGUGAAAUGCGUAGAUAUCGAGAGGAACACCUGCGGCGAAGGCGGGUUGCUGGGCUGACACUGACGCUGAGGCGCGAAAGCUAGGGGAGCGAACGGG